CUACUGCUCCAUGGACAGCAUGGGGGGUGUGUUUUUCUCACAACUUCAGUUUGAGGCAAGAUAGAAUCAGUGCUCAAUACUGCUGGAGGUGAGAGGAAGGGCAUCCCCCCUCCGAAUUGCUGGUCAGGAGAUACUGCAGCAGGAGUCUGAAGCUGAUAUUACUGGAUUUGGGUUUUCUUGCUGGUAUGAAGAUGAUCAGAAUCUGGCCUAGGGUGAGGGUGUUUGUGCUUUGGCAGUGGGUGUGAAAGCAGAAACUCCAGAGGGUUGGGCGGCAACAUGCUAGUUCUGUUCUCUUCCGUAGAUGGCCUUCCGGAGACACGCUGGGUGAGUGGAAAAUGUAAUGAAAUUCCCAGAGCCUCCUGGUGCACUACCAAGUCACAGGAAUCCAAUACAGUAUCAAGGAGCAAUUGCAGAAGGGCAACCCCUCACCAGUGGCGGUAGUAGCAAUACUUAGCUUACAGAGAAAUUAGUGGUCUCAACUGCUCCAUUGUUACAGAAGCUGUUGCAAGUGGAUCCUAACAGGAAACAGAGCCGUAUGUCUCAGAAGGAAGGACCAGCUCUGCCAUUUGAACAAUCCUGCUCCAUCUGCUGCUGCUGCUCCUAUUGCUGUAGCUGUGUAUGGAGUGGCAACUCCGUGAUGCCAGGGUUGCAGACACUUCAUCAUUCUGUCUGUCCUUGCUUGUGUGUUCCCAAUAAACCACGCUAGGAGAGGUCAUCACAAACUUGCAUUUUAGUGCUAGGCUUCAAUGGUUCAAGUUUGUUAGAAAUAAGAUGUCUGCCAUUGGCAAUUAGGACUGCUGGGAUAAAAAUUCCCUGGGCAUUCAGACCUGCAUUCAGACCCCUAUUGCUGGGGAUACUGCUGUUGCUGUGAGUUAGCUCCCAGAUGUGGUCUUUACAAGCCUGCUCUCACCAUGAGGGAUAAGAUCAUGGACAAAAACUAGCCAGAUCUAUUCCAUAGUUUGUCAUGUGUAGGCUAAACCUGUUCUGGGUUUAAUUCUCAGCUCCAGCUAAACUUUUAUUUCAGUGGAAACAGUAGUCUGCACAGCUGGCCUCAUAUUUCAUGGGUGGUAUGGAAAAAGGAGUCAGAGACGCUUCUGCAGUUUUCUGUCCUUAUCAGUGUGCAAUACUAAGGGUAAAACCAGGCAUCUCAUAGAGCAUCAGAGAGGCCAGAAGGUCUACUUUGCUCUGUGUGGGGUUUUAUUGAGAUGGAUGUGGCCUGCACAGCCUGGAGCACAAGUUGUUUGUUUUAAUUUAGAAAUUAAAAAUAAAACCAUGUUUAUUUGCAUCAGUAAAGGGGUCUUUUUCUCACAGCUGCUUGAGAAGUGAGCUCUAGCUGCCAAGUAAAAUAAGGUUUAAUGUUACAGCUUGCACUGGGAAGAGCAGAGCUGGUAACUGCUCUGCAAGCAGCAAGACAGUAGUAGGUACAAUAUAUAGAAAUCCAUGUGAAGAACAGAACUCAGC